rnacentral:tRNA from 1 species
UGCGACGUAGCUCAGUUGGAUAGAGCAUCCAUGCUUCGACGGCUCGCAUUAGAUGCGAGCCGGGCAGGAAGGACGCGGGUUCGAGUCCCGCCGUCGCCCCCU